UUCGAACCAAAUGUAUACAUGUUUCUUUAAUUUUAAACCCUAAACCAUAAAAAUUGUCGAAUCUACUUCACAUUCAAUUGAUAAAGGAGGAAUACUAGCAAUCAAUUUAAGUCCUUUUGAAAAGAUACGAGCCUCACCAGCACGAACUGAUAAAUACCAUACUAAUUUUUGUGAUUAUAUGUAUAAUUAACUUAUAGCUAUUAAUAAAAAUCACAACAAUAACGGUUAAAAAACACUGAUAUUUUCCAACAAUAUUACAAUUAAGUUUAAAAGAACUCUGAGAAGAAGGAAGCCAACUAAUACAUAUGGAGGGUCGAAGAUGUUGGACAAUUUUUGAAGCUGAACUAAGCUGUAAAAGAGGAUAAAGAAACAAAGUAGUCGAAGAGAGAAAAGAGCCAAGAGAGGAGAAGAUCACUGCUGUGUUGGCGGCGAGACUCCUGUGCCUUCUGGUUUGUUUAUUCCUGAUUUUGUUGAGGUUCGUCGGAAUAUGGUGGAGGCUGGUGAUAAUCAGUGUCGAACUGUGUCUAGCUUCUUUAAGGUGGCUUCCUGGCUAUACAGAUUAGAAAUACUAUGGGCUAGUCUCCUUUCCGGCGAUCAUCGAUGGCGAAUUACAGUCAGACACAAGAUACUUAUUUGGGUUUGUAUGGUUAUUUUUGGAAUACUAUUUUUUAUCGACUUGUCUUUUUGCCGCUCGUCGGUUUAUCUCUUUGCCGCUUAUCAGCUUGGUUGGUUUGCUGAGGGUGGUGGUGGGUGGCCAAAUGGCUCUAGCUCGAUGGUCAUUUCGUUGUGCUGUUGUCACUGCUUUUUGGUUCCUUCGGUGCGGUCAACGGUGAUUUUGGUCGGUGGCACAAUUCUAGAGUGUUUUGUGUUGCUUCGGUGCGGUGAACGGUGGCUUUAGUUGAUGGCACAAUUAUAGAGUGUUUUGUUGACCUCUAGAUGCUAUUGACAGGGUUGGAUUGCUUUUUUUGACUGCAUUAGACUUUUUGGGUUGGAUUUUUCUGAAUUGGUCUGGUGUGUUCUCUGUACUGGAGCUUAAGUUUUGUUCUCUUGCAUCACUUUGAUUAUAGUUUAAUGGACUUUUAAAUGC